GUCAUGCAGCUGCCUGGACUCAACACGUUGGGGAUCUCGUUGGCUCGCAUUGACUACGCACCAUUAGGUCAGAAUCCUCCACACACACACCCACGUGCCACUGAGAUCCUCACCGUGCUUGAGGGGACACUCUACGUCGGAUUUGUCACCUCCAACCAAGCUGACAGAAGCAACAAGCUAUUUGCCAAGGUUCUCAACAAGGGCGAUGUGUUUGUAUUCCCCCAAGGACUAAUCCACUUCCAGUUCAACCCAGUACAUGACAAGCCAGCAGUCGCCCUCGCUGCUCUAAGUAGCCAGAACCCUGGAGCUAUUACUAUUGCCAAUGCAGUCUUUGGAUCAAAGCCACCUAUCUCGGAUGAUGUCCUAGCUAAGGCCUUUCAGGUGCAAAAGGGGACAAUUGAUUGGCUUCAAGCUCAGUUCUGGGAGAACAACCACUACUGAAAAAAUCAAGUCUAAGUUCAACAUAUGAGAAUAAAGAAAUGUACUUGUAUUUUACAUACUACUCUAUGUGUCAACCUUUUUCUAGGUUGCGACUGAUAAUAAAAUAAAUGUUACUCUGUCAUACUAGAUAUGAAACAUUAACUUAGUUUAGUAAUACAUGAACAGUCGGUUAUUACGAAUUAAUCACUCCCCUACAUCUAUAGGAAAGGAUAAGUCCUAAAUUCAACUAGGAGUGACCAACAAAGCUCAUAUUUAUGACCAGGCAUGAGCUUGAGCGAAUUUUGGCAGAAUAACCCCAAUGUUCUCCAUUUACAUGCCUGAAAAUGCUGCAACAGAGAACAAAGGGGUUAUGCUUCUAAAAUUACGCACAAGCACAUGUCUUAUUACAAAUAUGAGCUCUGUCGGUCACUCUGAGGUUGUCCAAUAAAGGGACAAUCCUUCCCCAACAUACGUCACAUGCAUCCCACAUGAGGUGUGUUGGACCAAAACGAGUGAUGCGCAGAUUCGGCUCCAUUUGUUAACUCUAUGUUACACACAUUUACGCUACAUCCGUCGAUCAAUAUUAUAUAAUUCAACUAAUAAAACACUUAUACAAUGUUUUAUACUACAUAACAUUGUUUUGGGUGAAAAUAAUAUUAAAUGACCUUAUUUCCAAAGGUUUAAUAAUUACCAUUAGAAAUUACAUAUUUAAGUUAUUUAAGCACCCUAAAUGAACUAAAACAAUCUAAAUAAACUACAUAAUCACCAUUACGGUCGUCAAAUAUAUUCAACACACAUAUUUCAUACAAACAAUCAAUCAACGCAUGUAAUUAUAAAGCAAAUGGUCUUACUUCGGGAGGCAGGGCGAUGCUGUGGAAGGUGGGGAGGCGCUCUGGAAGGCGUGCGAUGGACGAGGCGACGCUGCGGGAGGUUGGCAGAGCUUCGGGAGGCGUGUGGUGGGUGGUCGUGCCCUGGCAGAUGGCGCUACGGGCGGUGGCGGCUUCGAUGGAGCUUCAGGAGGCGUAUGGUGGGUGGCAACGCCCCGACGGAUGGCGCUACGGGCGGCGACAGCUUCAGCUCUGGCGGACGUGGCAUCGACGAACGAGUGUGGGUGCGACUUCUACAUGGCAGUGAGGGCGGCGACGAUGAACAGCUUCGGCGGGGCAUGGAGCCGGGGAUGGGCCGAGAAAGGGCGUCGGUCACAGGCGAUGGUGGGGCGGUGACGACAGGUCAAGCGGAUGCAGCAUACAACAUGAGAGAGAGCGAGCGAGCACGUGUGGGGAGAGAAAGUGAAACGGCGUGGUCGGGCAUUGUUUCCUUAAAUCGACGUAUGUCUGACAACGUGUCUGGCAGCUGUGGGACAUAAGGAUUACUAGUCGGUUGUCCGUGCGUUGCGACGGCUCACAACAAUAACCACGUAAACUAUCCACCAAAAAGAUCUCAAGGUUUUUAUUGAUUGUCUCCGCUCUCCGCAUAAUAUUUUUUAUUUGACUAACUGAUGUUGUUGUUUACUCCAUCCAAUAUGUCUUGGUACAACACGACCAAUGAAGGGAGCGAUUAGUAGAAAUUUCACAAUGACCGAUUGAACGAAUAUAGAUUAUAGAAUGACAUAAUUCCACCAUACAUAGACCAAAUAAGAGGAAGUUUGUGAGCUCAAGUUUCUAAAAUAAGUCACAUGAACUCAAACUUAUAAAAAAGAUAGAUUAAAAUAUGGAUUGGUUGCUAAAGUCAGUCAUCAAUAAAAAUUGGAUGCGCUCUAUACAAAUUAUGGUACUUCAUAACAAUUACUAACGUUUGAAAUCAACAAAUAACCUUUCCUUUUAUUGCUAGCGUGACAAAUCAUUGUUGCUCCAUCCAAUUUAGCAACCUCAAACACCAUGGAGUCCAUUGCGCCAAUGUGGUCCCAGAAACGACCUAAUGCAUGCAAGAGCCAAGAACACAACGGACGGGCACCCUGUGAUAGUUCCCGCAUGGAUCUCCAAAUCCUAACACAUAUUUUGUAGGAUCCAUGAACCAUCAUAAGAAAAAUAGAAAUCAUGUGCAGACAAUAAAUAAAGUAUUAACACACCCAAAUUAUGUUCAAUCAUUAGCACAACAAAAAACUAACACCCAAAACAACAGCGAAACAACACAAUAUUUUUUGCAAUGACAGAAGGAUGGGUGACAAGUACAUAGAAGUGGUAGAAGCAUACUGAGUCGACACCGUGGUAAGGGAAAGGCCAUGUAGACAGGCGAUGCCGAGCCAUCGAACGGGUACCAGGCAGCAAAUCAGAGACCCCCAUCACUCGCCUCCCCCACUUCCAAGGUUUCGUAGAGCAGGAAGGGAAUGGAAGAGGUGGGCAUACCUGUUCGUUGCUGGAGAAGGACACAACAAAGACCUAGGCAUCUGGAGGCGACAUAGGUAGUAUACCGCUAGAUACAUAUAGGGAGAGAGCACACAAGCGGAGAAAAAAGGCUAGUCGGAGCGGCUCCAAACCGAGAGGCACCCACACUAGGCGUCAAUCUGAGAAGGGCGAGAGAAUGCGAGUGGCUUCCCAGCCCUGGACCCACCAAGGCGACACAACAACACCACCAACUCUGUAGCAUAUGUUGACUGCUAUCGUGCCACGGGCCUUGGUUGUCCAAUAUCUCAGACCUGGACUCCUCAUCGUCAAGAUAACCUAAGCGUGGCAGGCGCCACCGUGUCCUCCUCGGAGGUACGCACGAAGAAAGGCUAGGAGUAAGACCGACUCGCUCGUACUCGUGUCGACGAGCGUCGGUCGGCUCGCGGCUGCGACCGUGGGCGGGGGCAGUAGGUUGGGGAGGAAAAACAGGGUGAAGGACGGGAAGACGAACAGGAUGUCCGACGACUGCGAAAACGAUGGUGCGCACAUGCGGUGAAACGUCCUCGUGGACGUGCAAUAUCCAUUGCGUGGGUCGGUGUCGGGGCUGGUGUCGGACGAAUACGGGGAGGAGGUGCCUGCUCUCACGCCCUCUGUCGAGAAUGGGGUGGCGCGGAGACAGAGGCACGAGGGGAGACAGAAAAUAAGUAGGAUGGCGAACGAGGUCGCGACAACUGAGGCGAAGACCAUCAUUACCGUGUGGUGGUAUAGAUGGCCAAAUGGGUCGUGUCUGGUGGCCCGGCCCCGGUCACGACCAAUUUAAUAGUGCCUGGGCCAGUCCCGCACGACCGUCGUGCCAUGCUUGGGCUGUAGCCUCAGCCUGUAGUGCUGGCCCGACCCGGCAUGAUUAUUUUUUUUACAAAAAAUAAUAUAUACAUAUGUAGAAUUUAUAUUCAAUAUUAAAAACACCUGAGGAUAAUGUUCUACUGGUUAGAUAGCUUCACCCAGUGUCUCCCGCCCUUCUUCCAUUAGGGCGUGGGUUCGAACCCGCCUCCUGCAGCGUUUUUAACAUUUUACGUUGAUUUAACCAAAUGGUCCGACGGGCUAAUGAGCUGAGCCGGCAUGGUCAGCAGGACGGCGAGCCGUGCGUGUGCCGGAGCUGCGCGGAGGGGCAGGUAACCAUACGUGAAGAGGAAAUUGUGCAGAUUUUGCAACUGCACCAAGGAAUAAUAAAAAAGCACACAAAGUAGUAAGGAAUUAAUCCCAUUAUUAGAAUCCGGUUAUUAGUUAUUUUGAACAAAUCCCGAAACUCCAAACUACCCGUUAUCCAAAAAAACCUAAAAUUCCUAAAUCCCCUACACGAUUAGUUACAAAGUUUUUUGACAAGCACUCGCUGCAAUUGGCCGCGUAAACCAAAAGCCUAUCAAUAAAUAGGAACACAUCCCGACAAGUUCCCAAAAAAAUAAAUUUGCAUUAAAUUGGAACUAGUAACCAAUCCUAACAUGGAAGUAUGUAAAAAACUUAUAUAAACAAAAAAUCUCAAAUAUCGCAGCGGGUUAAUUUAAAAUAGAUGUGAGUGGUUAUUUGUAAAAAUAUGACGUGGGAUGACCGUUAAAACCGAGGCUUUAAUAGAGAUAGAGAUAGAGAUGUAUGACGAAGACAAGCCGUCAGAUAUUAUGUUAUGUCCGAUGGCCCAAGGAAACCGUUGGACAUUAGUAUUACUUCCGACUGGUGUCCGUGAGACCACGAAAAUUAGGCAAGCACAGUCGGAUGUUUUCUUUGUUUCAUGUUGUGCAUGAUAGGUAAUAAAAAAUUAUCUGCCAUUGCUAACCAUGACGAAAGAAUGAAGCUCGGUGUCGAAAGAAAAGCACAAUUUUAUUUGCCUUGACGUUUUUUUAUUGUAAGUUAUUGUAGUGGGAGUCCCUACAUUAUUUUUUAUAUCAAAGAAUGAGUAUCUAUAGGUUACAUGUGGGAUCGAGAGAGAGGUUACAAUGUUUGUGUCUAUAGACUAACAGAGGGUUUUGUUAUAUAACAGUUGAGCAUAGUAUCUCCCUCUUGAACAAUUCUUUACAAUUUUUUACAGUUCCUUAUAGUUUUAUUAUAUAACUUUUUCUGCAUUUCUAGAUACAUAAUUUUAUUUGUCUCGACGUUGACAAGUACAAUAGAGAUUAGAUUAAAUUGAACAGUUCUACUACAGUGAUAUAUGGUAAUUGAUCGCAGGGGGUCCGGCUAUUAGGGGGGAAUUAGGACCGGAGGUGGGAAUUAGGACCCUGUCAUGCUGGAGGUCAAGGAGUUGGUGCCCGCCGUACUAAGAAGAAGUCAAGUGCUUGCUUGAUCUAGCUAGUAAAACGUGUACGACACAUGUUGGUUUGGUGGAACUGACACAUAUUAUAUUCCACAAGACGAACAAGCAAAAAUGCUGUCAAAAGAAAAGCCAUAGUGGUUGAAGGACGAACCUGCCUGGUGAGUUGAAGGAACCUGCCCAGUGCACAACUCAAAAGAAAAGCCAUAGUUUUCACUAUGUCGAUGUCGACAAGUAAAUAGAGAUUAGAUUAUAUUAAACUGGACGUGGUUCUACCACAGUAGCAUAGUGGUUGAUCGGCAUGGGAAAACCUUCUACGGGGAAGAACGCUAUUAUCGCCAUUGCCAUUAGAACAGGAGGUGGAGGAUCAACGUAGUUGCAUUGCGACGGAACAUAAAUAUUCAAUAUAAUUUUAAAACACAGCAAUUACAUAAAAUGAACAAUUUAUAUAAUAUCACAGACCUCAAUAUCUCAUAAAUUCUCUGCAAAAAACCACUACAAAAUUAAAUUCGGGAUCCCGAGCGUCUCCUCCUAUCCCUCAACUGUUCAGCCACACAUCGUCGGUGGUGGCGUCUCCUCCUGCUCUCCCUCCGUUGUUCUUAUCUCGUUACCUACAGAUGCGUGUGGUGGUAGAGAGUCGCGGCAGUGGUUCGAGGCACUUGCCGAUAGAGGAAGAUAAAGACGGCACCGCGUGCGGGAUGCGACGGUGAUGACUAGUGAGUUGGACUCUAAAAAGAUGAUCUCUACUUGAUGUCUUCUAUGGUGGUGUGAAAGAAUUUGGAUGAGGGUGGUGGAGACAGAGAAAGAGAUGGAAAGUUGAGGGUUAAUAUACGACGACAACAUUGAGGAGGAAGGCGUGAUUGGUUACACAUGCAAGCAAGAGAUAAGUCUUAUCCACUAGUAGAAAAGAGCUCAAAACCUGCGGUGGGAUUUAAUUUUUACAGACGGAUUCGGUUAUCAUCCGUCAGUGCUAUUUCUAGUGACGGUUCCUUAAAAAACCGGUACUAGAAAUCAUAUUUCUACAUGCGAUUUGUUAAGAAAACCAAAUGUGGAAAUCUAUUAUUUCUAGUGGCGGUUUUCUUAAGAAACUGCCACUAGAAAUCAUUUUUAUCCUUAUUUUCUUGAGUUUUUCAAACGACCUUGGAUGAUAAACCACCAAUAUAAAAGUUGUAGAUCUUGAAAAGUUAUGAAACCUUGUAGUUGACAACUUUUUAAAUUGAAAUCAUCUCAGCUCUCAAAAAUUGCAUUCGAAUUUGUCAAAUUCAAAAUGCAAUUUUUUGCAAACGACCUUGGAUGGAAAAAUAUCAAGAUAAAAUUGUAGAACUUCAAAAGUUAUGAAAUUAUGUAGUUGACAAUGUUUUCAAUUGAAUUCGUUUACAGCCUCAAAUAGUCAAUUUAUACUCGGAAUGUUCUAAUAUGUGAGCAACAAAACUGCAAUAUAGACACAAGGCACGUCAUAGGUGGAGUGGUAGAGGAUAUUUUAUGUUUCCUAGAAAAGAUUUUCACUAGCGGUUUUAUUACCUCGACUGCCAGUGAAAAUCGAUUUUCACUAGCGGUUUUACUAGCCCGACCGCUAGUGGAAAUCGAUUUCCACUGGCGGUUCUCAGUUACCCGUCUGUACAAAUAAUUUUAAAGAAACUGGUACAAUGUUCGUCGUUGCGACAACACACAAUCAUAUUUGAUAACUAUAAAAAUAAAUUUAAUAUCAAAGUGCGCAUAUGGUCCACAUAUUAGAUAUUAAACCGAUAAAAAACAAAUAUUAUAAUUUAUCUUAGUGACAACAUUUUAACUUACACGUGACGACGUUUUCAUGUACUAGUUAAUGAUAAAAAUAAAUAAUUACCUUAUCAAAAGAUCACUCAUUGUACAAAUAUGUUUAUUUUGAUGUACAUAUUAUGAUUUCUUACAUCUGACAAUGUGUAGAAGUAACAAUGUUUUACAUUAAUAACAUAUGAAGUGAUGUCACUUAUUGUAGAAGUGACAAGGUGGCCUCCUACGCCUCCUUGUGGUCCCUCUCGGCCACAUGUUUAAGCUAAAAGGCAAUGAUGGGGAAGGUGCGUCAGAGCCCGGCGAGGGUGUGCAACAUGAGCUUGGUGCCGGAGGGGUUGACCUACGAACAUUAUUAUAGGUCGGUGAGCGCGGUGGACGGGGUGGCGCUAGCGCGACAUGCACGGAGGGUCGUUGGCGACCAUGCGCGGCAUGCAUGGAGUUUGUUUGGAGCGUGGUGGCGGGUCGCAGCCGUGGCAUCCGAUCAUCUGUUCCGUUGAGCCUCAGGGUGGGGGCAACGUUUGGGGCGGGCCGCAAUGACACCUGGUCUCGUGCGUCGUUGGCGACGACAAAAUCGAGGCUGGGGCGCCGUCAGCGGAGGCGAUGGGAUGGGGCCAAGGUUGCUUGGUGAUCGGGGCAGGGGAUCGGGUUCUAUUGUUUUUGGGGCUGGGGCAGGGGAUCGGGUCUCGUUGUUUUCGGGGCCGGGGCGGGGGAUCGGGUCCCGUUGUUUUCGGGGCCGGGACUGCGGGAUUGGGGCGCGCGGGAUCGUUCGGAUGGUGGGCAAAUCAGACGGCUUAGAUUGCAUAACGGUACAAUGGACGGUUGAGUUUGCGUAACGGUAGAACGGUUGGGAGGCAGCCUACCCCUUGCAGCCUUAAUAAGUAGUAGAGAUUAUACGACGGUAUGAUGGUGCACUUUCCCUUUGUUGACUUCUCUUCGUCUUCUUUUUUUGGGGGGGGUGGGAGUUGACUCUUUCUAUAUACAUUGGUGAUUAGUGAGCACACGAAUAGUUGGUCUCUUCGCUUCUUAGUUGGUCUCCUCAGCUGGUCUCUUUCAACGUGCUCCUUGAUUUGUUUUUUAAUGACAAAUAACAGUGUUUGUGUUGGUUCAUUGCACAACCACAAACGUACAUAGAAAUAGUCAACUCACAAAAAUUAUAGAAAUAGUCAGCAAUGCUUGUUGCCUUGUGGAAUAUAUAUCUGUCAGCUCCACACCAAACGAACUUGUGUCUUACAAGUUUUACUAGAUCAAGCACUUGAUUGCUUCUUAAUACGUAGCUUUACACUAAUACGUGAAGGACAGGAUGGCUUAGCAUCAUAUAAAAUACAGAGCAGUUUUCCCUUGUCGGUCUUUUUUUUGCUAGAUAUAUAUUUAACUCUCCCCCAUUCAGGCUAUCGCUAGCAGCUUCCCUAUGUCACCUCCUAUCGUCUCACUCUAUUUCGAACUUCACUAUAUAAACAGUACAAUCAAUCUAUAGUACGAAACAGUGUUUUGCACGGUCAUAUACACGCUCUGCUGAGCACGGCCACAUCGAUCACCCGUCGUCACAAUGACUUUUUUUUGUCAAUUAUAUGACAUAAAGUACUCGGCAAAGAGAUCGUUGCCAAUAAACUGUUCAUCACACUCGACAAAGCAUUUGCCAACUGUCAUUGAGGCUUUGAUGAGUGCCGCAUACACUCCGCAAAGAACAUUGUUCCGGUAGUGGUUGUUACAGUUGGUUUGGUGUGAAACUGAAAAUGUAUAUAUUCCACAAUUUGCAAAAGCAAAAAAAAUGGUGAACAAGCUAGUAACCAUUGCAAACAUUAAUCUGUUAUAUAUGACUCGUCAAGUGAUCACGGAUGAUGAAACGGAGAUUGUUGGAUAUAGUUACGACUAUAUGAGGUGCUGUCCUUUGGUUCGUAUAUUUGUAAUGUGAUAUGUAAUUGGUAACGUUAAAUUAUAUUUGUUUAAUUAUUAAAAUAGAAAAUGAUACCGACUUAUUUAAACUUAUUACUGUUGGUAACUGAGCGUGAAUCAUUAUCAUUAUUACAAUUUACAUUAUAUUUCGUGGACUAAAUGACAGAAGAUAUUAUACGACGGUGGUGCACUUUGGUGGGGGGAUUUGACUCUUUCUAUAUACGUUGGUGUGAGCACAAGAAUAGAUCGUUCCAUGAACCAUUAUGACAGUCCAGCCACAGCAACAAAUUUGUCUUCUCAUCUACGAGAUGGGGUAGAAAUGGAUGUCCAAUCGUCCGUUUUUUAUAUGUAUCCAUCGACGGAUCCUCCAUUAUUUUGCAGUUUAUUAACAAUUUAAAAUUUUGGAUCACUAACCAUCUGAAUGGCUUGUCGCAUCGUCUCGUCCUGCGUCACUGCGUGCAUUGACUUGAUCUGAAAAUUUGUUUGAUUGCCUCUAUAUGUGGAGCAUGAGUUGUACAAGUAGAUAUAAAACAAAUUAUUUUGAGGUCUUUUGGCUGCAUCCACUCAUACGGCAAAAAUACUCGUUUCUGAUCAGCCUAGAUCGGGCGAGCGUGGUACGAUCGUCCAGCUAACCAAUCAGCCGGUAAGGGAUUACUAUAAAUCUUCAAUACGCAGUUCGCUGGUACCUAGCCACUCAAAUACACAAAAAGAAAAGAAAUAACACAUAAAAGGCAUCGUAGGUUUAAACCGCUGAAAUAAGAUAACUCUAUUGUGUCGUCAUCAGCAGGUUCAGGUUGCUAGAGACUAUUUCUCCAGGUCGGUUGAUAGGUUCAACCAAAGACUUGUUCAGCUAUUAAUACGUACACGUCGCAACAUGCGCUCGGGCAGGCUAUAUAAACCUCACCGUCCCCAUGCCCAAAGCAUCAACAACCAUAGACACAAACACAACAAGCUAAUAAGAAGCUAGGUAGCUGAAUAUUAAGAGAGCACAAACACAAACGCGAGUGCAAAACCAAAUGGCUGCCUCGACCUACUUCCUUCUUGUUGCUUUUCUAGCAUUGGUCACUUCUCAUGCCAUUGCUUCUGAUCCUAGCCCGCUCCAAGACUUCUGUGUUGCCGACAAAGACUCUCCGGGUAUGCGUGCUCUCGUCUUGACUUAUGCUGUGUUCUUAUAAUAAUACAUGAUUAAAUAAGGUUCAUUUAAUUUGUUCAAAUCACAUCUACAUACAAUAAGCAUUUCUAGUUAUGCAUGGCCCAAUGGCCUAUUCUCCAUCUAAUUGCUCACCUUCGUCAAUGCAUACAGUCAAGGUGAAUGGAUUUGUUUGCAAGGAUCCCAUGGCUGUGAACGCUGACGACUUCUUCAAGGCUGCAAAACUUGACCAGCCAAGGGACACCACCAAGAGCAAGGUGGGAUCCAACGUUACUUUGAUCAAUGUCUUGCAGCUGCCUGGACUCAAUACGUUGGGCAUCUCGUUGGCUCGCAUUGACUAUGCGCCCUUAGGACAGAAUCCUCCACACACACACCCACGUGCCACGGAGAUCCUCACCGUGCUUGAGGGGACACUCUACGUCGGAUUUGUCACCUCCAACCAAGCUGACAGAAGUAACAAGCUAUUUGCCAAGGUUCUCAACAAGGGCGAUGUGUUUGUAUUCCCCCAAGGACUAAUCCACUUCCAGUUCAACCCGAUCCAUGACAAGCCAGCAGUCGCGCUCGCUGCUCUAAGUAGCGAGAACCCUGGAGCUAUUACUAUUGCCAAUGCAGUCUUUGGAUCAAAGCCAUCUAUCUCGGAUGAUGUCCUAGCUAAGGCAUUUCAGGUGCAAAAGGGUACAAUUGAUUGGCUUCAAGCUCAAUUUUGGGAGAACAACCACUAUUGAAAAAUAAAUCAAGUUAUGGUUCAUUGUAUGGGGAUAUAAUGAUUUAUUUAUAUUUUACAUACUACUCUAUGUAUUUAUUUUUCUAGACUUUCAGCUGAUAAUAAAAUAAAUGGAUUGUAUUUAUGAACUAUAAUUGUAAUGUGUCCCAAUUGUGGUUCUACCACCAUGUCCUUAAUCGAAAGUGCAUGUAAUGUAUAUGGCACUCUCUCGUUUCCCAUUUUAUUGAGAUGGUUCAUAUAUUAAGCCAUCUCUAGAACGAUUGACAUAAUUACACCACUCCUAAAAUUCCACUAUUAUCAGGAAUGAUUAUCAUAAAAGAACUGUCCUUAAAGAUCACAUUUCAUGGGUGGAUUCUUAUGCCAACCGUUCCUGAAAAAUAGAAGAUUUCUACUCAAAAGGUGCUAGCUAGCAUGUUUGAGGACCAAAAAAAUUCAUAGAUUUUCAAAUAUAGUCAUUAAGUGACAAGCUUUAUAUCAAAUUUGUAAAGCCCAACAAUAUCUAAAACUUUAUAGGUAACAACUUUUUAUUUAAGACCAUUUAUAUACCUAAAUAUAUGUUUUGUCUUCGAAGAGUUGAAAAUUCAGAAUUUCAAAUUUCAUUUCUAGUGGCAGUGGGCUUUCAUUUUCCACCGUCAACACUUCUAUAAAAAAACUCUUAUAUAAUUAUAUAGUGGUUUGAUAUUUUUAUACAUGGCAUACCAGUAAUAUAAAUUCAACAUUAUGCUUAAUUGGUCUCUGUAAUACCCACUUUGUAAGAAAAACCUAAAAAGAGAAAUUUCAUUCCUUCAUAUAUGUGUGUCAUCUUUAUUUAUCAUUUCAUGUGGACACGCCACUUAACCAGAAUAAAUGGUUAACAAAAGACACUCAAAUAACUUGUGCAUCCUUUGGAGUUUUGUUUGCUUGUGCAUUAAAAUAAUUACAAUAAUAAUGCUAGUAGAAAUAAAACAAUGACUUGAGAUGAAGUUUGAAUCCUAAAUUGAGAAUUAGGGUUUGAAAUAGAGAAGGAAAGAGAAAAAUACUAUACAAUACAAAAAUAAAUUUAUAAAUAGAUAAAUUUAUUCCACAAUAAUUAUUCAAAUCAUAUACUCAGAAAUUUGAGUACAAGUUCACCACAAAUUUGAAAUUCAAAUUUAGAUUCAAAAAUAAGAAUGAAAAGAAAAUGAAUCAAAAAAGGAAAAUAAAAAGAAAAGAAUAAAGACACCUAACUGGGCCGCUAGGCGGUAUUUCGGCCCGUUCACUGUUACUUCGCGCGGCUCGUCACUUCGUGGAGGCGUGCUAACACGUGAGGCCAUCUGGCCAGCCACACACCGCGCGAUACAGCAGCGUUGGCUCGCGCCGACACAUGGGACCAUCUGGGCAGCCACCCACGCACGAACCCGCGGACGCCACGGUCACCUGCCCCACCUGUCAGAGAACACGAUGGAUCUUCUUCGUUCCGCCAUUGUCGCGCUGACCAGCGACAAUCGCGCCACUCCGCCGUUUUCUGGGGGGUUGUUGGACUGGAGCACCCGAGCUAUAAGGACCGGCUCCGGAUGCGGUUCCCCACCUUUGCCUACUCGUCGCGCCCCAACCAUUGAGCUCAGUGAGGGAGAGAGAGAAUCACUUCGCCGCCGUCCUUGGGCCGCCACCGGGAAUCCUCGCACCGCGAACACACCAUCUGCGAAAUUCGGGCCCGAGGCUUCAUGUUUUUGCGAGGAAUACAUGUGUGGUGUUGCGGUGACUGGGGUACCGUCGGUGCGCUUAGAAUCACUCGCCGGUGUUCUUCCCCCGCGUCACGUGGACAACUGCCUCCACACCAUCAAUCGUCGUCGGGUAACUACUCUACUUGCCAAACUUUGUCUUCGCUACGUGUAUUCCGGUUUAGAUCGAAGCUUUAGGCGCGGGAUCAGGUAAUGGGGGAUUCCGGCGAUGGCGCUCCGCCGUGGUGGCCCUGGUCUUCCCUCCGGCCGUCGUCUAGGUGUAGGAGACGUUUUAGCCACUGUAACCUGUUAGAUGUGCGGCUCAGAUUGGAAAUCAGUUACCGAUUCGGACACGUUCGCCUGAGACCGUCGAUUAGAGAUCCGAGGGUAGGGAUCGGAUAUGGGCAUUGUAAAACCCUAGCUGUUGAUCUGUCAACAUACGCCCAGGAUCAGAGGGGGAAAUACAUCGUUUCAUUUAAUUAAAUCAGCGCCGUUGAUUCCCAAUCCAACGCAUAGCAUUGCAUACGGAUUCAGGUGUGGGCUUGAUCUAAUCGGAACCCUCGGUUGUCGAUCGGACGGCUCUGACGAAGGAUACCCCUUCGGCCCUGUAAAACUGCAAAAGAGACCCUAUGCUAUUUUAGAUUCAACCCGUCGUCCAUUUGUGGGGUGCUCUGUGUCUUAGAGAUUUUUACCCCGAGACCCCUGAGUUCCUCUGGUUUUGUGCGCCUAGCCCAUGAGAGUAAGAAAUCCAGGAAAUUAAAUAGAAAAUAGAUUUUUAAUAUAUAAAUAAGUGCUAGAACUUGUAAAAUUCAUAGAAAAUUCAUUUUUAGUCCAAAUUACUCCAUUCCAGUUUCUAAAAUUUUGUAAUAUUAUUUUCUAUCACUUAGAGUCUCUGUUUUGACAUGAAAACAGUAAGAAAAUUUAUUUUAGAGAUGGCAAUGGGUACCCGAAACCCGAAUACCCGACGGGUUUUAUCCGAUAUGAAGGCGGGUACGGGAUAAUUUCUCUACCCGCGGGUAUGUUAAUGGGUAAAAACCUCUACCCGUUGGGUAGACGGGUACGGGUAUGGGUUGGUACUACCCAUACCCGUCUACCCGUGGGUAAAAUAUACCCGCAUCAAUAGCACUAUAAACAUCUAAUAGAGUCCAACUUAGCUAGAAUAAAACUCUUCUCUAGUUAUCAUUUGUCUAGAUACCAAGUUAUGUAAUCAUAUGAUUUGUUAUAUGUAAAAUUGAAGUUGUUUUUAUAUGUUUAUUUAAUAUUUUGAGUGAUUGGUAUAUUGGAAUUUAAUUCUUUCCUAGCGGGUACGGGUUACCCGACAGGUAAAAAUACCCGCGCGGGUACGGGUAUGGGUAAGAUUUUAUACCCGCGAGUAUAUAUGGGUAACCCGACGGGCAGAAUUUUUUUUGAUGGGUACGGGUAUGGAAUGAUACUACCCGACGGGUAUGUACCCGUUGCCAUCCCUAAUUUAUUUCUCAUUUAAUCCUAUUUUAAGCAUAUAAAACCUUUGGAAAUUCAUAACUUAAAAUCUAUAACUCCAAAAUUUAUGAUUCCUAUUCCUAGGAUUUUAUUUUAAUGUGUAGAUUAUUAUUAUGUAUUUUUUUACAAGUUUGGUGUGAUGUUAAUUUUCUCUAUAUACUGUGCUUGUUUGUAUUGUGGCGAGUAGAAGAGCCUGUGACUGAGGAUCCUGGUGCCCAGCAGAUAGAAGUUGCUGAGCAGGAGCUCAUUGAAGACAAGUUGUGCCCUUGACCACUUUUUACCCAAUAAUGUUCUUUAAUAUCACUUAUUCAUGCAUAGGUUUGACCCAAUAGGUCACCCUAGUAUGUUUAUCCAUUUUACCUUGUUUACCCCUGAAUCAUUUGGGUAGUUAUGCUAUUGCCUCACAUGGUUUUGGGUUAAUAUUUCAUUAUAUACAUGUUCCAAUUAUUUUGUUAUUCUAUUUAUGUUCAUGUCAAGAUCAUUAAUAUUAAUUGGAACAUGGAGCUUAACUUGAGAAACACGUGCCACCACAAGGGUGGAAUGGGACACCCUUGGCUGACUAAUUAGGAAAGCUAGUGGAAGACUACCUUACCCGAAAGGGGCAAGGGCAGUAGGAGAGUUGCAUGCAAGGAGGUUCUUGGGUUGAUUUUUCUGCGAUGGCGGUCAGACGAGGAUUCUUGCAGAUGCCCUUCCCAUAAACUGUAGCGGGUUUUCGGAAGCUAGUGGAACUUUGUAAAGGCCUCGUAGUGUUUCCCUGCCUCGCUUCCUUGGUAGAGGUGUAUGGGAGUCGCGAUCCCUUGGUAGAUGGGUAACAUGACUUGUGGGUACAGGGUACAACCUCUGCAGAGUGUAAAACUGGUAUACUAGCCGAGCUCACGGUCAUGAGCAGCUCAGGACUUAAAUUCAAUUUGUCAUUUGCAUUGCAUGAGAUUAUUUAUUAAUUUUGUUCUAUUACUUUUAUUAUGGUUUGGUAUUUACUUACAUCUAGUAACUGCUAAUAAAAAUUUGACCAACUAAUUAAAAGCAAUGCUCAGCUUUAACCCUAUUGUUGAUCAGCCUUACACAUCACAUGAACUCCCACCUUUGGUGAGUUCAUGCCCACUGGUUUCCCCACAACUUGUUGAGCUAUGAUCAUGUGUGAGCUCACCCUUGCUGUCUCAAACCCCCCACAGGAGAAGAACAGGUGGUUCAAGAGGAGUCACACUGAGUAGUUUGAUCUGAUCUAGGUGGCGUUUCCCAGUUGACUUUUGGCGCCAAGGAUGAUCCUUAGUUCGUUUUAUAUUUAUCUUUUAUUUUGUAAUAAGACUUCCACUAUGUAAUAAAUAGUCUGAUGUUAUUGUGACAUUUAUCUCUAUACACUCUGUUAUUAUAUAUGUUGUCUUCUUAGCGCAUGUAUGAGAUACACCCGACUUUGUUCCUUAAAGCCCGGGUGUUACAGAAGUGGUGUCAGAAGAAAUGUUGACUGUAGGACGAAACCUAGUUAGUAAUGGACAAAACCUUUACCUCCUUACCUUACUCUGAUUCAUUCUAUACUUAUCUUAUCUUGAUCCUGUCUCACCUUUUGUUGUCAUACUCUGAUUACUCUUAUCUUUUCUACUCUAAGAUAAGGUGGAUUUCACACCUUGGGAUCCUACAAUUUAUGAACUUUUUAAGAGAUAGGGAACCUAAGACGAAAUUAAAACUAUUUUCUCUAUUUAAAAAUGUUGGUUGAUUGUUCUGAUGAUAAAUGCCUUAUUUGCUUUUUGAUUGAUUGAAAUAUUAUAAAUGGACAUCUUAGCAUGUACCACCGUAAGGUAAUGAAUUAGCUUUGGUAGGUAAAACAUUAAUCUGCUUAGCUAAUAAAUCCCCUAAAGUAACAUGCCUCGUAAUCACCUGCCUUGUCUACAAUCCUUUCUCUCUUACCAUAUGUUUCUAACUCAGAUGGUCAAUACCAGGAAGGGUGGUGGAAUUGAUCUACCUCCCAAUCAACACACUCGGAGGAUAUUUAGACAACCACAGCAACAACAACUUGAGAUGGAUCCUCCACCACCUCCACCAGCAGGAGUUGACCCAACUGUUGCAACACAGAUGAGGAUAAUGCAACAAAUGGCUGACACUAUGGCGGAUAUGCACGCGCAGAUGCGGCAGGAGCACCAGGAGAUGCGCCAAGAGCGAGAAUAUAUACGACAGGAGAUGCGCCAAGAGCGAGAGGAGAUACGCCAGGAGAGAAGGACGCAGCAGCAACAACAAUAGCAACAGCAACAUCAACAAGCACUACUGCCUCCACCUCCACCACCAGUUCCACCCCGGGACAAGCACCGGGAGUUCAUGAGUCAUAAGCCACCGACAUUCGCUAGUUCUCCUGAUCCACUGGACGCUAAUGAUUGGAUGAAGUCUAUGGAAAAGAUGUUGAUUAUCGCACAAUGCUCUGACCGAGAUAAGGUUCUAUAUGCUUCUGGACGUCUCACAGGUCCCGCUGCUGAUUGGUGGGAUUCAUACACUGCUGCCCACGAUGCUGCUGAUACUAUAUCACAUGGGCGGAGUUCGCUACGCAGUUUAGGAACUAUCAUAUACCAGCUGGACUGAUGAAGAUUAAGAAGAAAGAAUUUCUAUCGCUGAAGCAGGGGAACAUGUCAGUCAGCGAGUACCGCGAUAAGUUCAUCUAGCUACCUAGAUAUGCACCUGAUGAAGUUGCUGAAGAUGAGAGGAAGCAGGAGCAUUUUAUUGAAGGACUCAAUGGACCUCUGCAGUAUGCUCUAGUGGCACAUACAUUUCCAUCAUUUCAGAGGCUGCUUGACAAGGCCCUAGCUAUUGAACACAAGCGUGUUCAUCUAGGAGAUUUGAAGAGGAAGGCUAUAUCCCAAGGACAAGGAAGCAGCAGUGUUCGACCUCGCUACAGUUCACCCCAGGGUACACUAGUUCGCACUGGCGGAGGCCAGCGCCCAGCUCAGCACUCACCUCAGGGGACUCCACUGACUCGUCAGGCUACCCCCACUGGCACCCCGACGAAAUUUUCAGGACAGAGUGCAGGCACUACUUGCUACAAGUGUGGAAAGACUGGACAUUAUGCAAAUGUUUGCCCACAAAGGAUUGCUACUACCCCAGUUCAGAAUAAGCAACAGACUCCAGGAUCUGGCAAGGGAUUCUCUAUUGCCAGGGUUAAUCAAGUCAGCGUUGACGCUACUCCUGAUGGAGCUGACAUUGCACUUGGUAUAUUUUACAUUAAUGCAAUUCCUGCAACAAUAUUAUUUGAUUCUGGUGCUACACAUUCAUUCAUGUCUGCUCGAUAUGCCAAUACAAAUGAGUUACCACUGAAAAAUAUGAAAACACCAAUGAUAGUAAUUAUAACGCCCCGAAUUUUAGAGUUGAAUUUUUUCUUUCUCCAGCACUCAUCAAAUUUGGGCGUUACCUUUCCUAUUUUUCUUUUCACCUCGCCAUGCCUCGUUCUUUUUCAAAAUUCUAAAGAGAGUUAACUCUAUGUCGUGUAUUAAUAAAACCUAGAAGUGGAUUUUUCUUGGGUUGUUGCAUCAUGCUGGGCCACACAUCUAUCCUUUUGUGUGUAUUUGCUUGGUUUCCGUGAAGUAUUCAUUUAUUAAGAGUUUAGAAUUAAAUAGAAAAUAGGAAAAACCACCAAAAAACCCUCCCUCCAUUCCCUGCCGGCCUUUUGGCCCGUGGUGCGGCCCUGGCCUCUUUGGGCCUGCGGCGUGGCCCACCUGGCGCACCCCCCGCUUCCCCGUGGCCUGCUUUCCCCCUCUCUCCCCUUCGUGUCUUGGGCUGGCGUCCCGUGGCCCAGCAGCUCUUCCCCCCCCCCCGCACGGCUCGCUGCCUCUUCCCUUGGCGCGGCCCAGCCCCCCACGCCCGGCCCCUUCCCCCCUACUUUCAGCCUGCUGCGCGGCGCGCUCGCCCGGUCGGUGCGGGCAUGGCGGUUGCCCAGCUGCCGCCGCCACCACCCAGUGGGGCCCACCUGUAAGUCUUAGAGAAAUCGCCCCCUGUUCAUCUCUCUCUCGCCCACGACGCGCGUUUCUCCCUCCCCUCACGCAGUUCGCUCGCCCGAUGCCCUCUUUCUCUCCUCCCAUCGCCCAGCCAUGCCCGUCCGCGCCGCCAUGCCCGUCCGCGCUGCCAUGCCCGUCCGCGCCGUCGUCGCCAUGCCCGUCCGCCGCCAUGCCCGUCGUCGCCGCCAUGCCCGUCCGCCGCCAUGCCCGUCGUCGCAUCGCCCCAUCUCCCCUUCCUCGUCCCCUCCGCCCCAUCUCCCUCCUCCCUGUGCCCGCGGCGCGGCCUGGAGCUCGGCCCGCGCGCGCAGUGCCCCAGCCUCGGCGCGAUGCGCGGCACGGCCAUGGCAUCCCGCCCGGAGCGGCACGGUCGGCCCCGCUACCUGCGCGGUCCGGCUCGGCCCCCGGCGCGGCCCCGCUACCUGCGCAUGGCGCGGUCAGCCCCUGGCGUGGCCCCUGCUGCCUGCGCGCGGCGUGCCCGGUGCGACCCCUCUCCUGCUCGUGGCGCGCAGCGCGGCGUACGCGUGGCUCGGCCCCGACGCGGUUUGUUCGCGGCGUGCGCAGCGCGGCCUGCUCGCGCUCAGCCCCCGGCGCGGCCCCGUCCCGCGCACGGCGUCUUGGCGCAGUUCGUCGUGCUCCUGGCGCGACGCGUAGCGCUCCGCCACACAUGUGACGUGCCCGUCUACCCCUAGACGAGCCUGUCUACCCCUAGACCACCCCGUCUACCCCCAUGUAUUUUAUGCGCGUUGAGCGUGUCGUUUAUUUUAUGUAGUUGAACUCCACUUAGAAUUGACCAUGUUAAUUAUCUCACGUAGUUAAAUGACGACUUAAGUAAUGUCGGCCAAUUGGAACAAUUGUAACUCUGUUAGUGUAUGUGAUUAAUAUCUGUUAGUAUGGCUAGAUAGAGUUAGACGAUGUAAUAAUUAAUUGCACACCUACACGUAAUACGUCUCGACUAUAGCUUUAACCACUGCGAGUCCCUUCUUUUUCUCUUUCUAGUAAUUGUGAAUGCAAAUCGUAUGUCAUAUACAUGUUCAAUUGAUCUGCUCUCUUGUAUGGUGUACUGUUUAUUUCCUAAUUCAAAGAGAUGGAUGUAUGUUUGCACUCGCAUAGAUAACGAUCUGGUUGAGGAGUCCGAAGAACUCGCAGGAGAAGACCCUGAGCAGCAGCUGGUUGGUGGAGGCAAGUGUCCCUUGACCCACUUAUGUUUUAUACAUUCCUUAAUUCACUUUCCGCAUUUACACAGUUUAUACCUAAGGAUUGACUAGCUUUUGUUAUUCAUGUCCUUGCUUACCUAUUUGGGUUGGAUUAUUCUGGUUUAGCUUCAUGCUAGUGCUUCACAUUAAUCAAUGAACAUGAUGAGAUUUAUCAAUGAUAUGUUAUUUCCCUUUUUUAUUAUGAUGAUAUACUUGUGGCAUUUAAGGGGACUCGAGCGGUUUCUCGAGUGCCUCUCCGUAAGGACCUGUUCGUUGGAUAACCGCCUGGGAAAACAGUGCAACCAUGAGGGUGGAAUGGGACGCCCUUAGCUGAAUAAUUAGAGGAACCGGGGUGUAGUUCGCUUCGCCGUCGUGCGUUAAUGGGGCUCGGUGUAUGCGGCUUGCUCUGCCAAGGUUGGUUCGCCCCUUGCGGAGGAGUGCGGUGUAUUUAGGAAACCUAACGGGCGGCUACAGCCUCGGGGAAUCUUUGUAAAGGCUUCGUAGUGAUGCCCUGCUUGGCCACCUAGGUAGUGGUCAAUGGGGAGUAGCUCUCUCCGGGUAGAAAGGGAAUCACGACUUGUGGGUAAAGUGCGCAACCUCUGCAGAGUGUUAUGAAACUGAUAUAUCAGCUGUGCUCGUGGUUAUGAGUGGCCAAGGGAGCUCCAUUGAUUAGAGAUACUUGAUCAGAGAUGUUUGGAUUACAGGUGGUGAUGAGAAUGAUGGUUUUGGUAUUGACUAUGGUAAUGGUAAGUGGUAUUCUUUCCAUUUGGAAAGGGUACAUUUGGGUUAAUAACUUGGGUUAAUGCUAAAACCUGGCUCUCUACUAGUAAUAAUAAUCUGACCAACUAAAAGCAAUUGCUUGACUUACCCCCACAUAAAGCUAGUCCACUAUAGCCAAACAGGACAUUUGCUGAGUAUGUUGAUGUGUACUCACCCUUGCUCUACACACCACCCCCCCCCCCCGUCCCCAGGUUGUCCAUGUUGCAACCACUGCUCAGGAGAAGAUGAAGCCGUGGAGGAAGACUUCCAGGAGUUCCAAGAUUACGAUGAGUUUUAGGCGUGGGUUAGCCGCAACCCCCAGUCGGUUGCUUGUGAAGGCCGCGUGUAUCUACGUUUCGUUUUCGCACUUUGAUUAUUGUUAAAGACUAUGUGGAUGUCUCAGACAUUAUGAUGUAAUUGACUAUUAUUACACUUUUUAUGUUUUUAUUUGAGCACUGUGUGAUGAUAUCCAGUUAUGUAACUGUUGUGUACGUGAAUUGCUGAUCUUGGCACGUAUAUGGUUCGCGUUCGGUUUGCCUUCUAAAACCGGGUGUGACAGUAAUUACACCUAAAGGGCCUGUUGAGGCAAGUUAUAUGACACAUAGAUUGACAUUAACAAUUAUGGGAAGAGAAUUCUGGGCUACUGUUAUAAUAUUAGAGGCAAGCAAUAUAGAUCUGAUCCUUGGUAUGUCAUGGUUAAGAAAGGCAAAGGCCAUUAUACAAUGUGGUAGGGGUACUGUAGAACUCACCAGCCCUAAAGGAGAAGGUUUCAAGUUGAAAUUGCAGUAACAACCUCUUCCAGACGUGCGAUGUUCUUUAUAGCUGACGAGUUUGUUGGUAACAACAUCCAUGUGGUUAGGGAUUUUCCGGAUGUCUUUCUAGAGGAGUUACCAGGGAUGCCACCAGAUAGGGAAGUUGAGUUUGUAAUUGAUCUCUUACCUGGAACUGCCCCUAUUUCUAAAUGGCCAUACAUGAUGUCUAUUGAAGAGUUAAAGGAACUUAAGAAACAAUUAACAGAGUUACAAGAGGCUGGGUACAUUCGUUCGAGUUCCUCACCUUGGGGAGCGCCGGUUCUAUUUGUACAGAAGAAGGAUGGAUCACAAAGGAUGUGUGUGGAUUAUAGAUACCUAAAUGAUGUUACUGUGAAGAACAAAUAUCCGCUGCCCCGCAUUGAGGAUUUAUUUGAUCAGAUGAGAGGUGCAAGGGUAUUCUCGAAGAUUGAUCUCCGAUCGGGUUACCAUCAAAUGAGGAUUAGGCCAUCGGAUAUUCCCAAGACAACUUUCUCGACCCGAUAUGGUUUAUAUGAGUUCACGGUUAUGUCAUUUGGACUAACUAAUGCACCAGCUUAUUUUAUGAAUUUGAUGAAUAAGGUGUUUACAGAGUAUUUGGACAGAUUCGUUGUAGUAUUCAUCGACGAUAUUCUUAUUUAUUCAAAGAGUGAGAGUGAUCAUGAGGAACAUCUGAGAUUGGUGCUACAGAAACUACGGGAUAAUCAACUCUACGCCAAGUAUAGCAAAUGCGAGUUUUGGAUUGGCGAGGUGCCAUUCCUUGGACAUAUCAUUUCUAAUGGAGGGAUAUCAGCGGAUCCUGCUAAAGUCAAGGAAAUAAUGGCAUGGAGCGUACCCACUAUAGUUACGGAGAUUCAGAGUUUCUUGGGGCUUGCAGGAUACUAUCGGAGAUUUAUUGAAGGAUUUUCUAAGAUUGCUAAGCCUAUGACCUCGCUUCUGGAGAAGGGAAGAGAGUUCAAGUGGGACGAGAAGUGCCAAGAUAGCUUUGAUCAAUUGAAGAAGAGGUUGAUGUCGCCACCAGUGUUGGUUAUGCUAGAUCUACAGAAGGGAUUUGACAUUUAUUGUGAUGCCUGUGGCCAAGGAUUGGGAUGUGUGCUUAUGCAAGAAGGACACGUGACUGCCUACGCGUCUCGUUAGUUGCGGAAACAUGAGUUGAACUACCCCACUCAUGACUUAGAACUGGUAGCCGUAGUGCACGCACUUAAGAUAUGUAGACAUUAUAUCAUGGGAACCAAGUGUCAAGUAUACACGGAUCAUAAGAGUUUGAAGUAUAUAUGGCGCUACGGGCGGCGACAGCUUCAGCUCCGGCGAACGUGGCAUCGACGAAUGAGUGCAGGCGUGGCUUAUACAUGGCGGUGAGGGCGGCAACGAUAAAUAGCUUCGGCGGGGCAAGGAGCCGGGAUGGGCCGAGAGAGGGCGCGGGUUGCAGGCGAUGGUGGGACGGCGACGACAGGUCUAGCGGAUGCAGCAUACGACGUGAGAGAGAGCGGGCGGGCACGCGUGGGGAGAGAAAGUGAAACCGCGUGGUCGGGCGUUGUUUCAUUAAAUCGACGUAUGUCCGACGACGUGUGUGGCAGCUGUGGGACAUAAGGAUUACUAGUCAGUUGUCCGUGCGUUGCGACGGCUCACAACAAUACCCUCGUAAACUAUCCACCAAAAAGAUCUCAAGAUUUUUUAUUGAUUGUCUCCACUCUCCGCAUAAUAUUUUUUAUUUGACUAACUGAUGUUGUUGUUUACUCCAUCCAAUGUCUUGGUCCACCAAGGCCAAUGAAGGGAGUGAUUAGAAGAGAUUUCACAACGACCGAUUGAACGAAUAUAGAUUAUAGAAUGACAUAAUUCCACCAUACAGAGACCAAAUAAGAGGAAGUUUGUGAGCUCAAGUUUCUAAAAUAAGUCACAUGAACUCAAACUUAUAAAAAAGAUAGGUCAAAAUAUGGAUUGGUUGCUAAAGUCAGUCAUCAAUAAAAAUUGGAUGUGCUCCAUACAAAUUAUGGUACUUCAUAGCAAUUACUAGCCUUUGAAAUCAACAAAUAACCUUUGAUUUUAUUGCUAGCGUGACAAAUCAUUGCUGCUCCAUCCCAUUUAGCAACCUCAAACACCAUGGAGUCCAUUGCGCCAAUUUGGUCUCAGAAACGACCUAAUGCAUGCAAGAGCCAAGAACACAACGGACGAGCAUCUCGUGGUAGUUCCCGCAUGGAUCUCCAAAUCCUAACACAUAUUUUGCAGGAUCCAUGAGCCAUCAUCAGAAAAAUACAAACCACGUGCAUACAAUAAAUAAAGUAUGAAUACACCCAAAUUAUGUUCAGUCAUUAGCACAACAAAAAACUAACACCCAAAACAACAGCAAAACAACAUAAUAUUUUUUGCAAUGAUAUAAGGAUGAGUGACAGGUACAUAGAAGUGGUAGAAGCAUACCGAGUCGACACCGUGGUAAGGGAAAGGCCAUGUAGACAGGCGAUGCCGAGCCAUCGAACGGGUACCACGCAGCAAAUCAGGGACCCCCAUCCCUCGCCUCCCCCACUUCUAAGGUUUUGUAGAGCAGGAAGGGAAGGGAAGAGGCGGGCAUACCUGUUCAUUGCCGGAGAAGGACACGACAAAUACCUAGGCAUCUGGAGGCAUAGGUAGUAUACAGCUAGAUACAUAUAGGGAGAGAGCACACAAGCGGAGAAAGAAGCCCAGUCGGAGCGGCUCCAAACCGAGAGGCACCCGCACUAGGCGUCAGUCCGAGAAGGGUGAGAGAAUGUGAGUGCCUUCCCAGCCAUGAACCCGCAAAGGCGACACAACAACAACACCAACUCCAUAGAAUAUGCCAACUAUUGUCGCGCCACGGGUCUUGGUUGUCCAAUAUCUCAGACAUGGACUCCUCAUCACCAAGAUAACCUAAGUGUGGCAGGCGUCACUAUGUCCUCCUCGGAGGUACGCACAAAGAAAGGCUAGGAGCAAGACCGACUUGCCCGUACUCGUGUCAACGAGCGUCGGUUGGCUCACGGCUGCGACCGUGGGUGGGGGCAGCAGGUUGGGGAGGAAGAACAAGGCGAAGGUCGGGAAGACGAACGAGUCGUCCGACGACGACGAAAACGAUGGUGCACGCAUGCUGUGAAACGUCCUCGUGGACGUGCAAUAUCCACUGCGCGGGUCGGUGUCGGGGCUGGUGUCGGACGAAUACGGGGAGGAGGUGCCUGCUCUCACGCUCUUUGCCGAGAAUGGGGUGACGCGGAGACGGAGGCAUGAGGGGAGAGAGAAAAGAAGUAGGAUGGCGAACGAGGUCGCGACAAUUGAGGCGAAGACCAUCAUUACCGUGUGGAGGUAUAGAUGGCCAAAUGAGUCGUAUCUGGUGACCCGGCCCGGGGCACGACCCGUUUAAUAGUGCUUGGGCCAGUCCCGCACGAGCGUCGUAUCUUGUUUGGGCUGUAGCCUCGGUCCGUAGUGCUAGUCCGACCCGACACGAUUAUUUUUUAUUUUACAAAUAAUCAUAUAUACAUAUGUACAAUUUAUAUUCAACAUUAAAAACAUCUGAGCAUGAUGUUCUACUGGUUAGACAACUUCACCUAGUGUCUCCCAUUAUUAGAGCGUGGGUUCGAACCCCGCCUCCUACAGCGUUUUUUAACAUUUUACGCUGAUUUAACCAAAUGACCCGAUGGGCUAACGGACCAGGCCGGCAUGGUCAGCAGGACGGCGUGCCGUGCCUGGGCCCGAGCUGCGGCACGUGGGCGUCGAGCCUAGCGGGCCCGUGCCGGGCCGCCUGUUUGGCCCUCUAUAUGCAGAGGUGUGGUUUGGGACGUGGAUGUUGCCUGCGCGGAGGGGACAUACGUGCAACGGGUUAAUUUAAAAUAAAUGUGUCGGGGACCAUAAUUAGGGGUACCCUCAAGAUGCCUAAUUCUCAGCUGGUAACCCCCAUCAGCAUAAAGCUGCAAAGGCCUGAUGGGUACGAUUAAGUCAGGGAUCAGUCCAUACGAGCGACUCGAUCACGCCUCGCCCGAGCCUAGCCUCGGGCAAGGGCAGCCGACCCCGAGGGAUUUCCGUCUCGCCCGAGGCCCCCCUUUAACGGCGGACACAUCUCCGGCUCGCCCGAGGCCUUGCCUUCUCUCAGAAGCAACCCUGACUAAAUCGCCGCACCGACCGGCCGAGUCGCAGGAGCAUUUAACGCAAAGGUGGCCUGACACCUUUAUCCUGACGUGCGCCCCCCUGCAGAGCCGAAGUGACCGCCGUCACUUCGCCGCUCCACUGACCGGUCUGACAGAAGGACAGCGCCGCCUGCGCCACUCCGACUGCAGUGCCACUUGACAGAGUGAGACUGACAGGCAGUCAGGCCCUGCCAAAGGCGCCAUAGGAAACUCCGCUCCGCCCGACCCAGGGCUCGGACUCGGGCUAAGCCCCGGAAGACGGCGAACUCCGCUCUGCCCGACCCAGGGCUCAGACUCGGGCUAAGCCCCGGAAGACGGCGAACUCCGCUUCGCCCGACCCAGGGCUCGGACUCGGGCAAAGCCCCGGAAGACGGCGAACUCCGCUCCGCCCGACCCAGGGCUCGGACUCGGGCUAAGCCCCGGAAGACGGCGAACUCCGCUCCGCCCGACCCAGGGCUCGGACUCGGUCUAAGCCCCGGAAGACGGCGAACUCCGCUCCGCUCGACCCAGGGCUCGGACUCGGGCUAAGCCCCGGAAGACGGCGAACUCCGCUCCGCCCGACCCAGGGCUCGGACUCGGGCAAAGCCCCGGAAGACGGCGAACUCCGCUCCGCCCGACCCAGGGCUCGGACUCGGGCUCAGCCCCAGAAGACGACAAACUCCGCUUCGCCCGACCCCAGGGCUCGGACUCCGCCCAGGCCUCUGCUGAACAAUCUCUGCCUCACCCGACCCAGGGGCUCGGGCGCGGCCUCGGCCAUGGAAGACAGACUCGACCUCGGCUUCGGAGGAGCCUCCACGUCGCCCGACCUAGGGCACAGGCCCGCCACGUCAACAGGAAGCGCCAUCAUCACCCUGCCUCGAGCCGACUCGGGCCGCAGAGAACAAGACCGGUGUCCCAUCUGGCUCGCUCCGCCAGAUAGGCAAUGAUGGCGCCCCGCUAGCCCUGUGACGACGGCGGCUCUCAGCUCCCUUACGGAAGCAGGGGGACGUCAGCAAGGACUCAACUGCUCCGACAGCUGUCCCUCCGCCAGGCUCCGUUGCUCCUCCGACAGCCACGACAUCACACCAGCAGGGCGCCAAGAUCUCUCCGGCCGCCACAUUGGCAUGUACUUAGGGCGCUAGCUCUCCCUCCGCUAGACACGUAGCACUCUGCUACACCCCCAUUGUACACCUGGAUCCUCUCCUUACGCCUAUAAAAGGAAGGACCAGGGCCUUCUUAGAAAAGGUUGGCCGCGCGGGGACGAGGACGGGACAGGCGCUCUCUUGGGGCCUCUCGCUUCCCUCACCCGCGUGGACGCUUGUAACCCCCUACUGCAAGCGCACCCGACCUGGGCGCGGGAUGAACACGAAGGCCGCGGGAUUUCCACCUCUCUCACGACCCGUCUCCGGCCACCUCGCUCUCCCCCCUUCGCGCUCGCCCACGCGCUCGACCCAUCUGGGCUGGGGCACGCGGCACACUCACUCGUCGGCUUAGGGACCCCCCGGUCUCGAAACGCCGACAGUUGGCGUGCCAGGUAGGGGCCUGCUGCGUGCUGACGAACAGCUUCCCGUCAAGCUCCAGAUGGGCAGUCUCCAGCAACCUCUCCGGCCCGGGACGGUGCUCCGUUUCGGGAGUCUUGAGUUUAUGUCCUUCGACGGCAGCUACGACAUGAUACUCCUUCCACCGCCACGUGACAACGACAAUGGCGGCCGACAACCCGCCCGCCGGCGGCGGAAUCGACGACAUCUUCCCCGCGCGGUGGAAGAACAACAUUCGAGCUCGCCCCGUCCUCUCCCCCGCCAACGGAGGAGGAGGCGGGGCAACCAAGGCCAAGCGGGAGGCCUCGCUUCGUCGGCUGUCGAGCGAAUCGACGUCCCCAGCGCCCCAACGGGGGGCGCGUCAGGCGUCGACCUCGCAUUUGAGACGAAGGCGAGCGCCGUCCCCCCGCGACACACCAAUCCCGAGCAAGUGGACGACGCCAGCGCGCUUGCGGAGAGCUUGCAGGAUGUCGCCCUCGUACCUGAGACGACGGUGCAACCAGUCCCCGACGUGACUAUGACGCUCCUCGUCGACCAAAAGGUACCGACUGAUUCCCAUCUUACGUCAUUUCGACUCGGCCUCAACCCGCCUAGCGACCUUGCUUCAGCGGGCGCUCUCGUUGAGGCGAGUGCAACCCCUCUGGGGUCUCGUAUGCGGUCGCCUUGGGACCGGUUGACGGACGUCUCGACCUACGGGCCCUCUGGGCCCGAGGAAGACGACGAUCCCAGCAUCUGUUGGGAUUUCUCCGGAUUUGGCAACCCCAGUGCCAUGCGGGACUUUAUGACCGCAUGUGACUACUGCCUCUCCGACUGUUCCGACGGUAGCCGCGGCCUUGACGACGAGGACUGCGGCCCAAGCCGCGAAUGUUUCCACGUCGAGCUAGGGGAUCCCUCCGAAGGCAACCAUCUCGGCAUGCCGGAGGACGGUGAUCUUCCUAGGCCGGUGCCUCGCGCCGACAUCCCGCGGGAGCUAGCUGUGGUCCCCGUUCCGGCGGGGGGUCACGACCCACAGCUCGAGCAAGUCCGCGGGGCGCAGGCCAGGCUCGACGAGGGAGCGGGAGCGCUUGAGCCGAUCCGUCGGGACAUCGGGCAGGUAUGGGCGGGCCAACCCCCGGCCGGAGAAAUGCGUCACCUGCCCCAAGAUUUCCAGCACCGCGUCACCAACGACGUCAGGGUCAGACCGCCACCCGCAUCCAGCGGGGUCGGUCAGAACCUGGCAGCCGCAGCGAUGCUCCUCCGCGCGAUGCCGGAGCCAUCAACCACCGAGGGUCGGCGAAUCCAGGGAGAGCUCAAGAAUCUCCUGGAAGGCGCUGCGGUCCGACAGGCCAAGAGCUCUGCCUCCCGAAGGCAGGGAUACCCCUCGGAACCUCACGUCGCGACUUCCCGAUUCAUGCGGGAAGCCUCGGUCUACACCGGGCGCACGCGCAACACCGCGCCUGCAGCCCCGGGCCACCUCGGCAACGAGCACCAUCGUCGCGACCAUCGGGCCCGCCUCGACGAGAGGGUGCACCGAGGCUACCACCCCAGGCGUGGGGGACGCUAUGACAGCGGGGAGGAUUGGAGUCCCUCGCCCGAACCACCCGGUCCGCAGGCCUUCAGUCGGGCCAUCCAACGGGCGCCGUUCCCGACCCGGUUCCGACCCCCGACUACUAUCACGAAGUACUCGGGGGAAACAAGACCGGAACUGUGGCUCGCAGACUACCGCCUGGCCUGCCAACUGGGUGGAACGGACGACGACAACCUCAUCAUCCGCAACCUCCCCCUGUUCCUCUCCGACACUGCUCGCACCUGGUUGGAGCACCUGCCUCCGGGGCAGAUCUCCAACUGGGAUGACUUGGUCCAAGCCUUCGCCGGCAAUUUCCAGGGCACGUACGUGCGCCCCGGAAAUUCCUGGGACCUCCGAAGCUGCCGGCAACAGCCGGGAGAGUCACUCCGGGACUACAUCUGGCGAUUCUCGAAGCAGCGCACCGAGCUGCCCAACAUCACCGACUCGGAUGUCAUCGGCACGUUCCUUGCCGGCACCACCUGCCGUGACCUGGUGAGUAAGUUGGGUCGCAAGACCCCCACCAGGGCGAGCGAGCUGAUGGACAUCGCCACCAAGUUCGCCUCUGGCUAGGAGGCGGUCGAGGCUAUCUUCCGAAAGGACAAGCAGCCCCAGGGCCGCCCAUCGGAAGAGGCUCCCGAGGCAUCUACUUCGCGCGGCGCCAAGAAGAAAGGCAAGAAGAAGUCGCAAUCGAAACGCGACACCGCCGACGCGGACCUUGUCGCCGCCGCCGAGUACAAGAACCCUCGGAAGCCCCCCGAAGGUGCUAACCUCUUCGACAAGAUGCUCAAGGAGCCGUGCCCCUACCAUCAGGGGCCCGUCAAGCACACCCUCAAGGAGUGUGUCAUGCUUCGGCGCCACUUCCACAGGGUCGGGCCACCCGCCGAGGGUGGCAGGGCCCACGACGACGACAAAAAGGAAGAUCAUCAAGCAGGAGAGUUCCCCGAGGUCCGCGACUGCUUCAUGAUCUACGGUGGGCACGUGGCGAAUGCCUCGGCUCGGCAUCGCAAACAAGAGCGCCGGGAGGUCUGCUCGGUGAAGGUGGCGGCGCCAGUCUACCUAGACUGGUCCAACAAGCCCAUCACCUUCGACCAAGCUGACCACCCCGACCACGUGCCGAGCCCGGGGAAAUACCCGCUCGUCGUCGACCCCAUCAUCGGCGACGUCAGGCUCACCAAGGUCCUGAUGGACGGGGGCAGCUGCCUCAACAUCAUCUACGCCGAGAUCCUCAGGCUCCUGCGCGUCGAUCUGUCCUCCGUCCGAGUAGGCGUUGCGCCCUUCCACGGGAUCAUCCCUGGGAAGCGCGUCCAACCCCUCGGACGGCUCGACCUUCCUGUCUGCUUCGGAACGCCCUCCAACUUUCGAAGGGAGACCUUGACGUUCGAGGUGGUCGGGUUCCGAGGAACCUACCACGCGGUACUGGGGAGGCCAUGCUACGCGAAGUUCAUGGCCGUCCCCAACUACACCUACUUGAAGCUCAAGAUGCCGGGCCCCAACGGGGUCAUCACCGUCGGCCCCACGUACAAACACGCGUUCGAAUGCGACGUGGAGUGCGUGGAGUACGUCGAGGCCCUCGCCGAGUCCGAGGCCCUCAUCGCCGACCUGGAGAACCUCUCCAAAGAGGUGCCAGACGUGAAGCGUCAUGCCGGCAACUUCGAGCCAGCGGAGACGGUUAAGGCCGUCCCUCUCGACCCCAGUGGCGACACCUCCAAGCAGAUCCGGAUCGGUUCCGGGCUCGACCCCAAAUAGGAAGCAGUGCUCGUUGACUUUCUCCGCGCAAACGCCAACGUCUUUGCGUGGAGUCCCUCGGACAUGCCCGGCAUACCGAGGGAUGUCGCCGAGCACUCGCUGGAUAUUCGGGCCGGAGCCCGACCCGUCAGGCAGCCUCUGCGCCGAUUCGACGAGGAGAAGCGCAGAGUGAUAGGCGAAGAGAUCCACAAGCUAAUGGCAGCAGGGUUCAUCAAAGAGGUAUUCCAUCCCGAAUGGCUUGCCAACCCUGUGCUGGUGAGGAAGAAAGGGGGGAAAUGGCGGAUGUGUGUAGACUACACUGGUCUCAACAAAGCAUGUCCGAAGGUUCCCUACCCUCUACCUCGCAUUGAUCAAAUCGUGGAUUCCACUGCUGGGUGCGAAACCCUGUCCUUCCUCGAUGCCUACUCAGGGUAUCACCAAAUCCGGAUGAAAGAGUCUGAUCAGCUCGCGACUUCUUUCAUCACGCCCUUCGGCAUGUACUGCUACCUCACCAUGCCGUUCGGUUUGAGGAAUGCGGGCGCGACGUACCAGCGGUGCAUGAACCAUGUGUUCGGCGAACACAUCGGUCGCACGGUCGAGGCCUACGUCGAUGACAUCGUAGUCAAGACAAGGAAGGCUUCCGACCUCCUCUCCGACCUUGAAGUGACAUUCCGAUGUCUCAAAGAGAAAGGCGUCAAGCUCAAUCCCGAGAAGUGUGUCUUCGGGGUGCCCCGGGGCAUGCUCUUGGGGUUCAUCGUCUCCGAGCGAGGCAUCGAAGCCAACCCGGAGAAGAUCGCAACCAUCACCAGCAUGGGGCCCAUCAAGGACUUAAAAGGCGUACAGAGGGUCAUGGGAUGUCUCGCGGCCCUGAGCCGCUUCAUCUCACGCCUCGGCGAAAGAGGUCUGCCUCUGUACCGCCUCUUAAGGAAGACCGAGUGCUUCGCUUGGACCCCUGAGGCCGAGGAAGCUCUCGGGAACCUGAAGACGCUCCUUACAAAGGCACCUAUCUUGGUGCCCCCAGCUGAUGGAGAAACCCACUUGGUUUACGUCGCCGCGACCACUCAGGUGGUUAGCGCCGCGAUUGUGGUCGAGAGGCAAGAAGAAGGGCAUGCAUUGCCCGUUCAGAGGCCAGUCUACUUCGUCAGCGAGGUACUGUCCGAGACCAAGAUCCGCUACCCGCAAGUUCAGAAGCUGCUGUAUGCAGUGAUCCUGACGAGGCGAAAGUUGCGACAUUACUUCGAGUCUCAUCCGGUAACUGUGGUGUCAUCCUUCCCCCUGGGGGAGAUCAUCUAGUGCCAAGAGGCCUCGGGCAGGAUCGCAAAGUGGGCGGUGGAAAUCAAGGGCGAAACAAUCUCGUUCGCCCCUCGGAAGGCCAUCAAGUCCCAGGUGUUGGCGGACUUCGUAGCCGAAUGGGUCGACACCCAGCUGCCGACGGCUCCGAUCCAACCGGAGCUCUGGACCAUGUUUUUCGACGGGUCACUGAUGAAGACGGAAGCCGGCGCGGGCCUGCUCUUCAUCUCGCCCCUCAGGAAACACCUACGCUACGUGCUACGCCUCCAUUUCCCGGCGUCCAACAAUGUGGCUGAGUACGAGGUCUGGUCAACGGGCUGCGGAUCGCCAUCGAGCUGGGGGUCAGAUGUCUCGACGCUCGCGGUGACUCGCAGCUCGUCAUCAACCAAGUCAUGAAGAACUCCCACUGCCGCGACCCGAAGAUGGAGGCCUACUGCGAUGAGGUUCGGCGCCUGGAAGACAAGUUCUACGGGCUCGAGCUCAACCACAUCGCUCGGCGCUACAACGAGACUGCGGACGAGCUGGCUAAAAUAGCCUCGGGGCGAACAACGGUUCCCCCGGACGUCUUCUCCCGGGAUCUGCAUCAACCCUCCGUCAAGAUCGACGACACGCUCGAGCCCGAGGCACCCUCGGCACAGCCCGAGGCGCCCUCGGUUCAGCCCGAGGUACCCUCGGCCCCCGAGGGCGAGGCACUGCACGUCGAGGAGGAGCAGAGCGGGGCCAUGCCUGAUCAAAAUUGGCAGACCCCAUACCUGCAAUAUCUCCGCCAAGGAGAGCUACCCCUUGACCAGGCCGAGGCUCGGCGGGUAGCGCGGCGCGCCAAGUCGUUCGUCUUGCUGGGCGAUGAGGAGGAGCUCUACCACCGCAGCCCCUCGGGCAUCCUCCAGCGAUGCAUCUCCAUCGCCGAAGGUCAGGAGCUCCUGCAAGAAAUACACUCGAGGGCUUGUGGCCAUCAUGCAGCGCCUCGAGCCCUUGUCGGGAAUGCUUUCCGGCAAGGCUUCUACUGGCCAACGGCGGUGGCUGACGCCACUAGAAUUGUCCGCACCUGCGAAGGGUGCCAAUUCUAUGCGAAGCAGACCCACCUGCCCGCUCAGGCUCUGCAGACGAUACCCAUCACCUGGCCCUUUGCUGUAUGGGGUCUGGACCUCGUCGGUCCCUUGCAGAAGGCGCCCGGGGGCUACACGCACCUGCUGGUCGCCAUCGACAAAUUCUCCAAGUGGAUCGAGGUCCGACCCCUGAACAUCAUCAGGUCCGAGCAGGCGGUGGCGUUCUUCACCAACAUCAUCCAUCGCUUUGGGGUCCCGAACUCCAUCAUCACUGACAACGGUACCCAGUUCACCGGCAAAAAAUUCUUGGAUUUUUGCGAGGAUCACCACAUCCGGGUGGACUGGGCCGCCGUGGCUCAUCCCAUGUCGAAUGGGCAAGUAGAGCGUGCCAACGGCAUGAUUCUACAAGGGCUCAAGCCCCGGAUUUACAACGACCUCAACAAGUUCGGCAAGCGAUGGAUGAAGGAACUCCCCUCGGUGGUCUGGAGCCUGAGGACAACGCCAAGCCGAGCCACGGGUUUCACGCCGUUCUUCCUGGUCUAUGGUGCCGAGGCCAUCUUGCCCACUGACCUGGAAUACGGCUCCCCAAGGAUGAGGGCCUACAACGAUCAAAGCAACCAAGCUAGCCGAGAAGAGUCGCUGGACCAGCUAGAAGAGGCUCGGGAUAAGGCCUUACUACACUCAGCGCGGUACCAGCAGUCCCUGCGACGCUACCACGCCCGAGGGGUCCGGCCCCGAGACCUCCAGGUGGGCGACCUGGUGCUUCGGCUGCGGCAAGACGCCCGAGGGAGGCACAAGCUCACGCCCCCCUGGGAGGGGCCAUUCGUCAUCGCCAAAGUUCUGAAGCCCGGAACAUACAAGCUGGCCAACAAUCAAGGCGAGAUCUACGGCAACGCUUGGAACAUCAAACAGCUACGUCGCUUCUACCCUUAAGAUGUUUUCAAGUUGUUCAUAUACCUCGCACUCGCGCAAAGUUUAGUCAUCAAGGAAGGGUCGGCCUCGCCUCGGCAAAGCCCGACCCUCCCUCGGGGGCUAAAAGGGGGGAGACCCCCUCUGCGUCGAAAUUUUCUCGAAAAAAGAUCUCUUUUAGCAUAAUAUCUUUCGUGCUUUUUGACUACUUCGAAAAGCGGAUCCUGGAAACGACGGAGUACACGUAAGCAGCCAAGGCUGACCGAGCCGAGGGACUCCUACGCCUCCGGGAUACGGAUACCUCACUCAUCACCUUCUGCGAUAAGUAACUCGCAUUCGGAUAAAAUGAUUCCGCGGACCGAACAAGUCUUUACGUUCGGAAGCUCUUCUGCCGAAGCGGAUCCUUCGAGCCUUCUCGACUGAGUCGGAGACAGGGCCUCGUGGACGGGUGAAAGUACGCGUAAGCGGCAAGGCCGACCGAGCCGAGGGACUCCCACGCCUCUGGGAUACGGAUACCUCACUCGUCACCUUCCGCGAGAAGCAACUCUCGCCCGCACAAACAUCCCUGUUACCGACAAAAAGUCCAGAUACUCGAAACAAGAGGAAAGGAGACGCAGCUUUACAACGCAGCGAGGGUGUGUUUUCUGGCCCCUGCGGCCGCAGAAGGCACACGCUACAAGACAAUCUGAUCCUGCAGGCUCGGGUCUUCACGCUGGAAGGGGGCUGUAGCACCCUCGGCAUCGACGACACCUUCAGUGAGGUCCGACCCAGCCUCGGACAGCGACGCGGUCCAGGGACUUCCCCGGGAAUCCGGCCCGAGCAGGCAGCUCGGCCGGGUGCCUCAGGGGCCUCGGCCAACCAUCUCCCAAGGGCGCCAGCCCGGCCCGAGGCCUCGGCUGGUCAACUCCGGCAUCGGUCCCGCUGACGGACAACCCGGCUAGGCUCCGGCCAACCAGGUUCCCAUUUUCGAGCCAACUCCACCCCUGUUCGUGCUGAUAUCGCUACCCCUGGCCUCGGCUCAUCGAAGAGCGGCCAAGGGGUCUCUUUAACUAAGCUAGAGGAGCCUCAGACAACAAGGCCGAUCGAGCCGAGGGACUCCUACGCCUCCGGGAUACGGAUACCUCACUCGUCACCUUGGCACGGGGCGACUCAUGCUUGGUGAAGCGGUUCAGAUAAUCAACAGGCGAGGCUUAGUGCUCGAAAAUGAGGAAAAGACACGGCUCCGUGCCGAAAUUGCAUACAUGUUCAGGCCUCGACAGCCACGAUGAACAAAAACACUGGCAUUCAAAGUGCCCUUACAAACGGAACUCCGGUUCCGCCCCCGCGGGUAUGAGCGACCUCGAGCCUGCGGGGCGACGAACAUCGGAGGCUCGCCAGCGACCUCUGCAGCAGCAGCCAUGGUCCUGGGUGGACGCGGCCACCGGAGGGCUCUUGUUCGCGGUCCCGCUCAAGGGACACGAACCAACUAUCAAAGCCAAAGAGCGGGCCGCUCCCAAGCGCACCGGCAGAUCCUCGCUGCCGUCCUCGCCACGAAUGCGAGGGGAAGGACGGAAUGUUGCAUCCUAGCUGGGCAGCAACAGUUCGCCUUCCCCGGCAUGACUGGAGGACGUCUCCGUCGCAGCGCGGAAGGACGAUUGCCACCACCAGAAGCUGGAAGAGGAGGUGGUCCGCCGACCCGCGCAGGAGGUAGAGCCCCGGCUCGCCUCGCUCCCCGUCCCAGCGAGGAUGACGAACACCCCCGAUGCUGAGGGCGGGAUCACAGCCUGGCUUGCCUCUCCCCAUCCAGGAGCUGGAGGUCACCGUCUUGGGUGACCACCAGCGGAGGGGAGCAACCGGGCUGUGUGAUGAAAAUCCUUGAAGCCGAACGAUGGCUGAAAGGUACCAACUCCCACGGAGUUGCGUUCCUCCAACGAUGAGGCGGAAAGACGGCGGGUACCCCCCAUCCGGGGGCUUGGAAGAUGGAAAGACACGACGCAUAAGGGAGGAAGAAGACAUGGUCGCCUUCCGAAAGGGGUCACCCUCCUUUUAAAGGCAACUCUCCCUACGUGCGCCCCCAAACGCCGCGGGCUGAGUCUUCUCCAACACGCUCCAAGGCCUUCCCCUGCGGCGCGGGGGCUGGGUCCCGCAUGUCAUGCAAACCGGCUCAGAGCAGAAGAAGCCAAAGCGCCGCACCUGAUGCACACAACCGCCCAGCGGUUACAAGCGACCCCCACUUUUGCCCAGACCAACGGGCGGAAGGAGUGGGCAGCCAUGCAGGCGGCAUGCAACCGCGCCAAGUGGACACGCUUCUCCGACUCCCAACGCGCUAGCAUGGAGGCCCAGACCCACGCGUCACGCAACCGGCGCGCCGGAUGCUGCAUGCAGGCAACUGCCACCGCCACUUACGCCACCAUCGCGCAUCUUCGGUUGCGGAACCAAUGCCGCGACUCGAGGCGACCCAGCGCACGACCCAGCAGCGCCAGCCUGGCGCGAUGGUCAAUGCGGCCGAAAGUGGGCCGGUAGUAAUGACGGUGGCAGGCGGGCGGGAGCAGCGGUCAAGUCGUCAGCCAGGCUCACGUCCUAUCCAGGGGCAGCAAGAGAGCCUCCUCUCACGGCGUGAAGACGACGCGCCCGUGAACCGUUCCUCGAAUGGCUCGCGCACGUGCAACGACCGCCCCGCCAACCACUCGCCCCGUCGCAUUAACUCUGCGGCGGGACAGGCGGCGCUUCCGGCAGGAGAAGCGGGCGACGCUUCGCCUUCGCAGUAAUAACCGCGCCAAAAAAGGUACGCCACGUCAUUCGAUUUCGUAUCCUUUUCCUUUUUUCCUCUUUCUCUAUCUCUUGCAACAGGGACCGGGAAAGAGGGAUACCCCGAAAAGGAUCCUUCCCUGUGAAGGAACCGGGCUCCGAGCCCCCCCUACUGAUCAGAGGUUCGAAGGCUGGCCCUCCGAGGGGUUCAACAGUCGCCUCAGAUCGCGUGGGCCCUACACCCACUACUGGUCAGAGGUUCGAAGGCCGGCCCCCCGAAGGGCUCCACGGCCGCCUCAGGCUACUCGGGCUCCGCGCCCAUUACUGAUCAGGGGUUCGAAGGCUGGCCCCCGAAGGGUUCACAGUCGCCUCAAACGCCGAGCGAGGGAUGACCAGGGGUACGUUCGAUACAUAGCCGAGGCUCGGGCUGCGCUCCCGAGGUACCCUAGGACAUUUCCGAGACCAGCGGGAGCGAUCUUGUAACGGAAUCCCAUCGGAGGGAGGCAUCGAGCCCUCGGACCCCGUCGCCAGGGGACCGGGUCCGGCAGAUCACCCGCAGGUACUUUUGGGCGUGCCUCUGGGCCCCUAGCCGACCCCCAACGAACGGGGCACGGAUGUCCACUCGGAUUACCCGCUUGCAGCUCACCGGAGACACCAUGUUCGGUGCCCAUCGAGGGUAACAUGGCGCACUCCCCCCCUCCUCCUUGCGGAAAGGCGACGUAGGGGCGUAUGUAAAAAAGCCGAGUCUGUCCCUGAUCGCCCUCUCGCCCUGUGCGGAGGCUCGGGGGCUGCUCUCGCAAACCCGGCUCCGGCCGAACCGUUGACAGCGUCAACAUACCAGCCCGAGAACUUGGGCCCCGACCGUGCACCCGGGCUACGGCCAGUUCGCAUGAGGGAACAACCAGACCAGCCGAAGCAUUUCGCAAGGCACUAAGACCUCGAAGGAGUGAAACCACUCCUCCGAGGCCUCGGGGGCUACACCCGGCGGGUGCGCUCGCGCGCACCCACUGGAACAAAAUGCAACCGAGAAAGGCUGGUCCCCUUGCAAAAAAGUGCGACAAAAGCCUCCAAGCGAGUGAUAACACUCCCUUCGAGGCUCGGGGGCUACUGUCGGGGACCAUAAUUAGGGGUACCCUCAAGACGCCUAAUUCUCAGCUGGUAACCCCCAUCAGCAUAAAGCUGCAAAGGCCUGAUGGGUACGAUUAAGUCAGGGAUCAGUCCAUACGAGCGACUCGAUCACGCCUCGCCCGAGCCUAGCCUCGGGCAAGGGCAGCCGACCCCGAGGGAUUUCCGUCUCGCCCGAGGCCCCCCUUUAACGGCGGACACAUCUCCGGCUCGCCCGAGGCCUUGCCUUCUCUCAGAAGCAACCCUGACUAAAUCGCCGCACCGACCGACCGAGUCGCAGGAGCAAUUAACGCAAAGGUGGCCUGACACCUUUAUCCUGACGCGUGCCCCCCGGCAGAGCCGAAGUGACCGCCGUCACUUCGCCGCUCCACUGACCGGUCUGACAGAAGGACAGCGCCGCCUGCGCCACUCCGACUGCAGUGCCACUUGACAGAGUGAGACUGACAGGCAGUCAGGCCCUGCCAAAGGCGCCAUAGGAAACUCCGCUCCGCCCGACCCAGGGCUCGGACUCGGGCUAAGCCCCGGAAGACGGCGAACUCCGCUCCGCCCGACCCAGGGCUCGGACUCGGGCUAAGCCCCGGAAGACGGCGAACUCCGCUCCGCCCGACCCAGGGCUCGGACUCGGGCAAAGCCCCGGAAGACGGCGAACUCCGCUCCACCCGACCCAGGGCUCGGACUCGGGCUAAGCCCCGGAAGACGGCGAACUCCGCUCCGCCCGACCCAGGGCUCGGACUCGGGCAAAGCCCCGUAAGACGGCGAACUACGCUCCGCCCGACCCAGGGCUCGGACUCGGGCUAAGCCCCGGAAGACGGCGAACUCCGCUCCGCCCGACCCAGGGCUCAGACUCGGGCUAAGCCCCGAAAGACGGUGAACUCCGCUCCGCCCGUCCCAGGGCUCGGACUCGGGCUAAGCCCCGGAAGACGGCGAACUCCGCUCCGCCUGACCCAGGGCUCGGACUCGGGCAAAGCCCCGGAAGACGGCGAACUCCGCUCCGCCCGACCCAGGGCUCGGACUCGGGCUCAGCCCCAGAAGACGACGAACUCCGCUUCGCCCGACCCCAGGGCUCGGACUCCGCCCAGGCCUCUGCCGAACAAUCUCCGCCUCGCCCGACCCAGGGGCUCGGGCGCGGUCUCGGCCAUGGAAGACAGACUCGACCUCGGCUUCGGAGGAGCCUCCACGUCGCCCGACCUAGGGCACAGGCCCGCCACGUCAACAGGAAGCGCCAUCAUCACCCUGCCCCGAGCCGACUCGGGCCGCAGAGAACAAGACCGGUGUCCCAUCUGGCUCGCUCCGCCAGAUAGGCAAUGAUGGCGCCCCGCUAGCCCUGUGACGACGGCGGCUCUCAGCUCCCUUAUGGAAGCAGGGGGACGUCAGCAAGGACUCAACCGCUCCGACAGCUGUCCCUCCGCCAGGCUCCGUUGCUCCUCCGACAGCCACGACAUCACACCAGCAGGGCGCUAAGAUCUCUCCGGCUGCCACAUUAGCAUGUACUUAGGACACUAGCUCUCCCUCCGCUAGACACGUAGCACUCUGCUACACCCCCAUUGUACACCUGGAUCCUCUCCUUACGCCUAUAAAAGGAAGGACCAGGGCCUUCUUAGAAAAGGUUGGCCGCGCAGGGAUGAGGACGGGACAGGCGCUCUCUUGGGGCCGCUCGCUUCCCUCACCCGCGUGGACGCUUGUAACCCCCUACUGCAAGCGCACCCGACCUGGGCGCGGGACGAACACGAAGGUCGCGAGAUUUCCACCUCUCUCACGACCCGUCUCCGGCCACCUCGCUCUCCCCCCUUCGCGCUCGCCCACGCGCUCGACCCAUCUGGGCUGGGGCACGCGGCACACUCACUCGUCGGCUUAGGGACCCCCCGGUCUCGAAACGCCGACAAGAUGUGAGUGGUUAUUUGUAAAAUAAAAAAUAAUCGGAUGUUUAGUAUUACUUCCGACUGGUGUCCUUGAGACCACGGAAAUAAGCAAGCACAAUCGGAUGUUUCUUUGUUUCAUGUUGUGCACGAUAGGUAAUAAAAAUUUAUCUGCCAUUGCUAACCAUGACGAAAGAAUGAGUCUCGAAGUCGAAAGAAAAGCACAAUUUUAUUUGUCUCGACGUUUUUUAUUGUAAGUUAUUGUAGUGGGAGUCCCUACAUUAUUUUUUAUAUCAAAGAAUGAGUAUCUAUAGGUUACAUGUGGGAUCGAGAGAGAGAGAGGUUACAAUGUUUGUGUCUAUAGACUAACGGAGUGUUUUGUUAUAUAAUAGUUGAGCAUAGUAUCUCCCUCUUGAACAAUUUUUUACAAUUGUUUACAGUUUUAUUAUAUAACUUUUUCUGCAUUUCUAGAUACAUAAUUUUAUUUGUCUCGAUGUUGACAAGUACAAUAGAGAUUAGAUUAAAUUGAACAGUUCUACUACAGUGAUAUAUGGUAAUUGAUCACAGGGGGUCCGACUAUUAGGGGGGAAUUAGGACCUGAGGUGGGAAUUAGGACCCUGUCAUGCUGGAGGUCAAGGAGUUGGUGCCCGCCGUACUAAGAAGAAGUCAAGUGCUUGCUUGAUCUAGCUAGUAAAACGUGUACGACACAUGUUGGUUUGGUGGAACCGACACAUAUUAUAUUCCACAAGAGGAACAAGCCACACAAAUUCGGUGGUGGCGUCUCCUCCUGCUCUCCCUCCGUUGUUCUUGUCUCGUUACCUACAGAUGCGUGUGGUGGUAGAGAGUCGCGGCAGUGGUUCGAGACACUUGUCGAUGGAGGAAGAUAAAGACGGCACCGCGUGCGGGAUGCGACGGUGACGACUAGUGAGUCGGACUCCAAAAAGAUGAUCUCUACUUGAUGUCUUCUAUGGUGGUGUGAAAGAAUUUGGAUAAGGGUGGUGGAGACAGAGAAAGAGAUGGAAAAUUGAGGGUUAAUAUACGACGACAACAUUGAGGAAGACGUGAUUGGUUACACAUGCAAGCAAGAGAUAAGUCUUAUCCACUAGUAGAAAAGAGCUCAAAACCUGCGGUGGGAUUUAAUUUUUACAGACCGAUUCGGUUAUCAUCCGUCAGUGCUAUUUCUAGUGACGGUUCCUUAAAAAACCGCUACUAGAAAUCAUAUUUCUACAUGCGAUUCGUUAAGAAAACCAAAUGUGGAAAUCUAUGAUUUCUAGUGGCGGUUUUCUUAAGAGACUGCCACUAGAAAUCAUUUUUAUCCUUUUUUUCUUGAGUUUUUCAAACGACCUUGGAUGAUAAACCACCAAUAUAAAAGUUAUAGAUCUUGAAAAGUUAUGAAACCUUGUAGUUGACAACUUUUUAAAUUGAAAUCAUCUCAGCUCUCAAAAAUUGCAUUCGAAUUUGUCAAAUUCAAAAUGCAAUUUUUUGCAAACGACCUUGGAUGGAAAAAUAUCAACAUAAAAUUGUAGAACUUCAAAAGUUAUAAAAUUAUGCAGUUGACAAUGUUUUCAAUUGAAUUCGUUUACAGCCUCAAAUAGUCAAUUUAUACUCGGAAUGUUCUAAUAUGUGAGCAACAAAACUGCAAUAUAGACACAAGGCACGUCAUAGGUGGAGUGGUAGAGGAUAUUUUAUGUUUACUGGAAAAUAUUCUCACUAGCGGUUUUAUUACCUUGACUGCCAGUGAAAAUCGAUUUUCACUGGCGGUUUUACUAGCCCGACCGAUAGUGGAAAUCGAUUUCCACUGGCGGUUCUCAGUUACUCGUCUGUACAAAUAAUUUUAAAGAAACUAGUACAAUGUUCGUCGUUGCGACAACACACAAUCAUAUUUGAUAACUAUAAAAAUAAAUUUAAUAUCAAAGUGAGCAUAUGGUCCACAUAUUAGAUAUUAAACUGAUAAAAACAAAUAUUAUAAUUUAUCUUAGUGACAACAUUUGAACUUACACGUGACGACGUUUUCAUGUACUAGUUAAUGAUAAAAAUAAAUAAUUACCUUAUCAAAAGAUCACUCAUUGUACAAAUGUGUUUUUUAUGUACACAUUAUGAUUUCUUACAUCUGACAAUGUGUAGAAGUAACAAUGUUUUACAUUAAUAACAUAUGAAGUGAUGUCACUUAUUUAGAAGUGACAAGGUGGCCUCCUACGCCUCCUUGUGGUCCCUCUCGGCCACCUGUUUAAGCUAAAAGGCAACGAUGGGGAAGGUGCGUCAGAGCCCGGCGAGGGUGUGCAACAUGAGCUUGGUGCCGGAGGGGUUGACCUACGAACAUUAUUAUAGGUCGGUGAGCACGGUGGACGGGGUGGCUCUAGCGCGACAUGCACGGAGGGUCAUUGGCGACCAUGUGCGACAUGCAUGGAGUUUGUUUGAGCGUUUUGGUGGGUCGCAGCCGUGGCAUCCGAUCAUCUGUUCCGUUGAGCCUCAGGGUGGGGGGCAACGUUUGGGGCGGGCCGCAAUGACACCUGGUCCAGUGCGCCGUUGGCGACGACAAAAUCGAGGCUAGGGCGCCGUCAGCGGAGGCGAUGGGAUGGGGCCAGGGUUGCUGGGUGAUCGGGGCAGGGGAUCGGGUCCUAUUGUUUUUGGGGCUGGGGCUGGGGAUCGAGUCCCGUUGUUUUCGGGGCCGGGGCGGGGGAUCGGGUCCCGUUGUUUUUGGGGCCGGGACGGCGUGAUCAGGGCGCGCGGGAUCAUUCGGAUGGUGGGCAAAUCGGACGGCUUAGAUUGCAUAACGGUACAACGGACUGCUAAUUUGCGUAACGGUAGAACGGUCGGGAGGCAGCCUACCCCUUGCAGCCUUAAUAAGUAGUAGAGAUUAUACGACGGUAUGGUGGUGCACUUUCUCUUUGUUGACUUCUCUUCGUCUUCUUUUUUUUGGGGGGGGGGGAGUUGACUCUUUCUAUAUACAUUGGUUAUUAGUGAGCACACGAAUAGUUGGUCUCUUUGCUUCUUAGUUGGUCUCCUCAGCUGGUCUCUUUCAACGUGCUCCUUGAUUUGUUUUUUUAAUGACAAAUAACAGUGUUUGUGUUGGUUCAUUGCACAACCUAUAUAAGUUUUAUGCUACCAUACGUACGUAGAAAGAGUCAACUCACAAAAAUUAUAGAAAUAGUCAGCAAUGCUUGUUCGCCUUGUGGAAUAUAUAUCUGUCAGCUCCACACCAAACGAACUUGUGAAACCGAAAGAUAUGUUUGUGUUGUUUUUUUGCCGAUUGCCCGACAUAAAGUACUCGGCAAAGAGGCCGUAGCCAAUAAACUGUUUACCGAGACCUGUUUGCCGAGUGUUACACUCGGUAAAGCAUUUGCCAGCUGUUGUUGAGGUUUUGAUAAGUGCCGCAUGCACUCCGCAAAGAACAUUGUUCCGGUAGUGGUUGUUACAAUUGGUUUGGUGUGAAACCGAAAGAUGUAUAUAUUCCACAAUUUAGAAAAGCAAAAAAAACGGUGAACACGCUAGUAAACAUUGCAAACAUUCAUAUGUUAUAUUUGACUCGUCAAGUGAUCACGGAUGACGGAUGACGAAACGAAGAUUGUUGGAUAUAGUUACGACUAUAUGAGGUGGUGUCGUUUGUUUCGCAUAUUUGUAACGUGAUAUGUAAUUGAUAAUGUUAAAUCAUUUUUGUUUAAUUCCAACCGUAAUCUAAUACUACACUAGAAUGUGAUACCGACCUAUUUAAAUUUAUUACCGUGGAUAACUGAGCAAGAAUAAUUGUCAUUACCAUUUAUAUUACAUUUCGUUGACCAAACUGUAGAAAAUAUUACACGUUGGUGUGAGUACAAGAAUAGAUCGUUCCAUGAACCAUUAUCACAGUCCAGCAACAGCAACAAAUAAUUUGUCUUCUCAUCUACGAGAUGGGGGUAGAAAUGGAUGUCCAAUCGUCCGUUUUUUUAUAUGUAUCCAUCGACGAAUCCUCCAUUAUUUCGCAGUUUAUUAACAAUUUAAAAUUUGGAUCACUAAGAAAUCGCAGUUCGCUGGAACCUAGCCACUCAAAUAUACAAAAAGAAAAGAAAGAACACACAAAAGGCAUCGUAGGUUUAAACCGCUGAAAUAAGGCAUCGUAGCUAGAGACUAUUUCUCCAGGUCGGCUGAUAGGUUCAACCAAAGACUUAUUCAGCUACUGAUACGUACACGUCGCAACAUGCGCUCGGGCAGGCUAUAUAAACCUCACCGUCCCCAUGCCCAAAGCAUCAACAACCAUAGACACAAACACAACAAGCUAAUAAGAAGCUACGUAGCUGAAUAUUCAGAGAGCACAAACACAAACGCGAGUGCAAAACCAAAUGGCUGCCUCGACCUACUUCCUUCUUGUUGCUUUUCUAGCAUUGGUCACUUCUCAUGCCAUUGCUUCUGAUCCUAGCCCGCUCCAAGACUUCUGUGUUGCCGACAAAGACUCUCCGGGUAUGCGUGCUCUCGUCUUGACUUAUCAUGUGUUCUUAUAAUAAAUACCUGAUCAAAUAAGGUUCAUUUAAUUUGUUCAAAUAUCACAUCUACGUACAAUAAGCAUUUCUAGGUAUGCAUGGCCCAAUGGCCUAUUCUCCAUCUAAUUGCUUGCCUUCGUCUAUGCAUACAGUGAAGGUGAAUGGAUUUGUUUGCAAGGAUCCCAUGGCUGUGAACGCUGACGACUUCUUCAAGGCUGCAAAACUUGACCAGCCAAGGGACACCACCAAGAGCAAGGUGGGAUCCAACGUUACUUUGAUCAAUGUCUUGCAGCUACCUGGACUCAACACGUUGGGCAUCUCGUUGGCUCGCAUUGACUAUGAGCCCUUAGGACAGAAUCCUCCACACACACACCCACGUGCCACAGAGAUCCUCACCGUGCUUGAGGGGACACUCUACGUCGGAUUUGUCACCUCCAACCAAGCUGACAGAAGCAACAAGCUAUUUGCCAAGGUUCUCAACAAGGGCGAUGUGUUUGUAUUCCCCCAAGGACUAAUCCACUUCCAGUUCAACCCGG
rnacentral:lncRNA from 1 species